rnacentral:snRNA from 1 species
GUGCCCGCAUCGGCAGUACACAUACGAAAAUUGGAACGAUACAGAGGAUUAGUCUGGCCCCUGCACAAGGAUGACAUGCAAAUUCGUGAAGCAUUCCAUAUUUUU